rnacentral:rRNA from 1 species
CUAACGGCUGAACCAGCAACUUGGAGGAAUGUAUAGCUACGGCUAAUUGUGUAUAACUACACGAUAUCGACUCUGUCGAAUAAAAUUCUGGGUAAAUUAUGAUGAUGACAUUUUUUACCCAUGUGUCUUGACCAAAUUGUGUGCCAGCAGUCGCGGUAAUACAUAGAAGACUAGUGUUAUUCAUCUUUAAUAGGUUUAAAGGGUACCUAGACGGUAGAUCAAGCCCUAGACGGGACUAAUUUGCUAGAGUUACUUAUGAGGGGGCUUUAAAGUACUAAUGGUGUAGAGAUAAAAUUUUGUAAUACCAUUUUUCGUAAAGAAAAGUUAUGGCACUGGUAAAGGUGAAAGCAUCCCCCUAUGUGA